rnacentral:rRNA from 1 species
UACGUAGGGUGCAAGCGUUGUCCGGAAUUAUUGGGCGUAAAGAGCUCGUAGGCGGUCUGUUGCGUCGGCUGUGAAAACCCGGGGCUCAACCCCCGGGCCUGCAGCCGAUACGGGCAGACUAGAGUUCGGCAGGGGAGACUGGAAUUCCUGGUGUAGCGGUGAAAUGCGCAGAUAUCAGGAGGAACACCGGUGGCGAAGGCGGGUCUCUGGGCCGAUACUGACGCUGAGGAGCGAAAGCGUGGGGAGC